GACGACGCUGGCGGCGUGGAUUAGGCAUGCAAGUCGAACGGUAUCAUCCUUUCGGGGGUGAGAGAGUGGCGAACUGGUGAGUAACACGUAGGUUAUCUACCCUCAAGACGGGGACAACCCAGGGAAACUUGGGCUAAUACCGGAUGUGAGCAACUUUUAGUUGUUUGAAAGGUGGCGUAAGCUGUCGCUUGGGGAUGAGCCUGCGUCCUAUUAGUUAGUUGGUGAGGUAACGGCUCACCUAGGCAAUGAUAGGUAGGCGGCCUUAACGGGUGGUCGCCCACACUGGGAUUGAGAUACGGCCCAGACUCCUACGGGAGGCAGCAGUCGAGAAUAGUCUACAAUGGUCGGAAGACUGAUAGUGCGACGCCGCGUGAACGAUGAAUCCCUUCGGGGUGUAAAGUUCUUUUAUAUGUGAGCAGUGCUCCUUAUAUUAACAGUAUGGGGAGAGAGAUAUUAGCAUAUGAAUAAGCAACGGCUAACUCCGUG
rnacentral:rRNA from 1 species